UACGAAGGGUGCAAGCGUUACUCGGAAUUACUGGGCGUAAAGCGUGUGUAGGCGGUCCUCUAAGUCGGAUGUGAAAUCCCUGGGCUCAACCCAGGAAGUGCACUCGAAACUGGAGGGCUAGAGUAUCGGAGAGGUUGGUGGAAUUCUCGGGUGUAGAGGUGAAAUUCGUAGAUAUCGAGAGGAACACCGGUGGCGAAAGGCGGCC
rnacentral:rRNA from 1 species